AUAGUACCUGUGAAGAUGCAGGUUACCCGCGACAGGACGGAAAGACCCCGUGGAGCUUUACUGUAGCCUGAUAUUGAAUUUUGGUACAACUUGUACAGGAUAGGUAGGAGCCAGAGAUCUCGGAGCGCCAGCUUCGAAGGAGGCGUCGGUGGGAUACUACCCUGGUUGUAUUGAAAUUCUAACCCAUAACCC
rnacentral:rRNA from 1 species